rnacentral:rRNA from 1 species
GUGUAGGCGGAGCUGCAAGUCAGAUGUGAAAUCCCGGGGCUCAACCCCGGAACUGCAUUUGAAACUGUAGCCCUUGAGUAUCGGAGAGGCAAGCGGAAUUCCUAGUGUAGCGGUGAAAUGCGUAGAUAUUAGGAGGAACACCAGUGGCGAAGGCGGCUUGCUGGACGACAACUGACGCUGAGGCGCGAAAGCGUGGGGAGCAAACAGGAUUAGAUACCCUGGUAGUCCACGCUGUAAACGAUGAAUACUAGGUGUGGGAGGACUGACCCCUUCCGUGCCGCAGUUAACACAAUAAGUAUUCCACCUGGGGAGUACGACCGCAAGGUUGAAACUCAAAGGAAUUGACGGGGGCCCGCACAAGCAGUGGAUUAUGUGGUUUAAUUCGACGCAACGCGAAGAACCUUACCAGGACUUGACAUCCAACUAACGAAGUAGAGAUACAUUAGGUGCCCUUCGGGGAAAGUUGAGACAGGUGGUGCAUGGUUGUCGUCAGCUCGUGUCGUGAGAUGUUGGGUUAAGUCCCGCAACGAGCGCAACCCCUAUUGUUAGUUGCUACGCAAGAGCACUCUAGCGAGACUGCCGUUGACAAAACGGAGGAAGGCGGGGACGACGUCAAAUCAUCAUGCCCCUUAUGUCCUGGGCUACACACGUAAUACAAUGGUGGUAAACAGAGGGAAGCAAUACUGUGAAGUGGAGCAAAUCCCUAAAAGCCAUCUCAGUUCGGAUUGCAGGCUGCAACUCGCCUGCAUGAAGCUGGAAU